GCCGGUGUAGCUCAGCGGUAGAGCAACCGCCUCGUAAGCGGUAGGCCGCCGGUUCGAAUCCGGCCACCGGCU
rnacentral:tRNA from 1 species